GGUGAGCGGGACCUCUUCCGGGGAGAGGAGCCCUUUCCAGACCUGGAGCUGGAUCUUUUGGAGGAAUAAACCAAGCACUAAGUCAUACACUAACAUGCUCCUGUGAGGUGUAACUCCAGACAGCAGGUACAGGUUGGAUUCCCUGUACCAGGGCCAUUUUUGCCAUUUUUGCCUAUUUGCAUUAUGAGUGAUUGCAGUGGGCCCCUGUGAGGUGGUAUUUUUGGGGGGUUUUUUCACGCCCUCUUAAAUGGCUAUAUUUUAUGUAGCACUUUUAUUCUAUAUUUUAGGUUAACUCAUGUGCCUGUCAGACUGAUUUUGUUUACAUUAGUUUAUCAUUGGUUAUACAGCAUAGCGGAAGUUCCUGUUGGAGGAAAUAUGUUAAGUCCUGCUCCUCCCCCAAACUUUGUGGUGAGGAGAGUUGAUGAGAGCAGACACAGAGAGGAGAAGAGUGUGAAAAGCAGCUUGUGCCACAGUACUGUGCAGCAGAUGAGGACACCUCCAGCUACAACAUCAGACCCUCUGUUGCUCUUGUCCACUCUGCCUCAGUCUUUGAAAGAAAUGUAGAGAUGGACAAAAGUUUGAACAUUCACAGAAAUCAAACAUGUAUAUUUUAUUAAUGUCCUUGUUACCUGAGCAGACCUGACUGUGAUUCUCUCUUCUUUUUCUCAGUAUUAAUGUGAAAAGUUAACCCCGUAUUACACAUGUAAUUGUUUGAAUGUAAUGUACAGUAACAACAUUAAAGCCAGUGUAAUACAAGGCCA